rnacentral:lncRNA from 10 species
GCUGGAGACUGAUACACCAUGAGGAAAAAAGAUCCACAGUGAUCAAGAAGACGGCCAGCUUCAACUGUCAGACCUACGAGUCUGGCCAUCUUGCAUCUUCCGACCCAGCUGAUCCUGAGCUUAAUGAAGCUACAUGAUCCUAGUGUGUCCAGAAUUGGUUCCUUCCUGUGGGUACUUGCUCUCGCUGACUUCAAGAAUGAAGCCACAGACCUUCAAGAUGAUGACUGCUCUGAUGUACAGUGUUCCCCCAUUGACCUGCAGUGCACAUGCAGAGGGAGAAAGGGGUCUACCGUUCUUGAUGUAAGUCACUGAGAUUUUGGCAUUGUUCAUUA